GGCUCGUUGGUCUAGGGGUACGAUUCUUGCUUUGGGUGCGAGAGGUCCCAGGUUCAAAUCCCGAAUGAGCCC
rfam:Lingula anatina scaffold767, whole genome shotgun sequence.